GGAGUGGCGCAACGGUAGCGCACCUGUCUUGUAAACAGGCGGUUGCGGGUUCGAUUCCCGUCUCC
rnacentral:tRNA from 1 species